UCGGGAUAGCUCAGCUGGUAG
rnacentral:tRNA from 8 species